AUCACUUCUCGGCCUUUUGGCUAAGAUUAAGUGUAGUAUCUGUUCUUAUCAGUUUAAUAUCUGAUACAUCCUUUAUCCAAGGACAAUAUAUUAAAUGGAUUUUUGGAAUUAGGGGACAGAAUAGGAGCUUGCUCUGUCCACUCCACACAUUGACCUGGUAUUGCAGUAUUUCCAGGAAUGGUGCACCCUCC
rnacentral:snRNA from 1 species